rnacentral:rRNA from 1 species
CCUACGGGAGGCAGCAGUGAGGAAUAUUGGUCAAUGGGAGAGAUCCUGAACCAGCCAAGCCGCGUGAGGGAAGACGGCCCUAUGGGUUGUAAACCUCUUUUGUCGGAGAACAAAACCCGGGACGAGUCCCGGACUGCGUGUAUCCGAAGAAAAAGCAUCGGCUAACUCCGUGCCAGCAGCCGCGGUAAUACGGAGGAUGCGAGCGUUAUCCGGAUUUAUUGGGUUUAAAGGGUGCGUAGGCGGUCUGUUAAGUCAGCGGUAAAAUGGCGGGGCUCAACCCCGUCGAGCCGUUGAAACUGGCAGACUUGAGUUGGCGAGAAGUACGCGGAAUGCGCGGUGUAGCGGUGAAAUGCAUAGAUAUCGCGCAGAACGCCGAUUGCGAAGGCAGCGUACCGGCGCCAGACUGACGCUGAGGCACGAAAGCGUGGGGAUCGAACAGGAGUAGAUACCCUAGUAGUC